AAAAUUGAAUAAUACUAAAUAAUUGCUGCACGAGAGUUAAUAAUUUCAUUUAUUAAAGUCAGUGUAUUUAAUAGUUAGAAUUUAAUAAUUAUUGAUAAACCGGAAGUUUAAUUCCAGUUAAGUGUACAGAGCAUGACUGAUAAGAAUGUAAAUGCUUGCAGUGUCUAGUUUUUUUGUUCUUUUUUUUACAAACAUACGAUUUAAAUCCACUGAAAUUCAAAUAAAAGUUUUUUCAAUUGGAAUUGUAUUUGCGAAGAAAUUUUCUUUAAAUUGUAUCGUCACUUAUUUUGUAUACUAACAAAACGAAAGGAUAAAUUUUGUAUAUUUGUUUGAUAAAACUCAUUUAUUUACUUACGUUUAUAAAUCAAGGAAAUACUCUUACGAAGGUCGUACUAAUUUGUAUGCAACAUUGAUAUCUAUUAUAUCUUUAUAUGGCUCACGACUUAGACUUUUCGAGUAAAUAUUUACAUUAAUUAACUUUGCAAAGAGUAAUGUAACUAUUAAAUCAAGGACAAAUCGUAAGAAUACCAAUCCGAAAUAUGAGUAGAAGGACAUCAUGUUUUUUUCCUUCAAUAGAAUCUGUAUCACAUUGAGAACUUCCUUAUAAUUUAAACUUUUUUUUUUUAUUUAUUUUUAUGCUAUAUUUAGUAAUGAAGAAUUACAAGCCUUAAUAGACGUUAUUAAAUGCGUGGAAGAAUUUUUUUUAUCAUUUAUUAUUAUCAGUAUUGGUUCACAAGAUCUUCCUGUAUAUAGCAAUGAGUUAAACUCAGUAUCAGGGAAAAUAAUAUUUUACGCUCAGUCAAGCGAAUGGUGAAUAAGAAUUAUGCAGCGAAAGCCAACUAAUUUCUCUUUGUAUAUUGUUCACUUUCUGUUUUAUUUUAUUUAUUGUAAAUUUUAAAAAUCAUUGCUUAUUCAUCUUCCGAUCUUGACAUUGUAGAUUGCGAUAAAAACAAAUAAUUAAAUAGAAAU